rnacentral:lncRNA from 1 species
GUCCUCUGUGAUGUCACGUAGGUUGAUACGUUGCUGUGUUUUCUUUUGGCUAGCCCGAAAAUUGGGUCUGAAUUCCAGAAAGAGCCCAGGGCAGAUGAGUCGAAGUUCAAGCCUGAAUUGAGGUGUCACCCGUUUUCCCCAUUAGUCCCUGGGUAUUUAUUCCUGUGUUCCCCGCUUGUCUGCUGCCAGUUCGUCUUGUCAUGUCAAGUCACUCUCCCCUCCCUUUCUCCCUCUCUCUCUCCCUCUCUCUCUAUCUCACAGGUGUUUUCCCUGUGGCUCAGUUGGUAGAGCACGGUGUUUGCAACGCCACAUGGUGUGUGGGUUCGAUUCCCACAGGGGGCCAGUACAAAAAAAAAAAAUGCAUGAAAUGAAAUGUAUGCAUGCACUACU